UACCUGGUUGAUCCUGCCAGUAAUCAUAUGCUUGUCUCAAAGAUUAAGCCAUGCAUGUCUAAGUACAUGCCGAAAUAAGGCGAAACCGCGAAUGGCUCAUUAAAUCAGUUAUGGUUCCUUAGAUCGUUUCUUCCUACUUGGAUAACUGUGGCAAUUCUAGAGCUAAUACAUGCAGUGAGCCUGGAACCCUUUGGGUUUACGGGUGCUUUUAUUAGACCAAGAUCGAUCGGGUUUCGGCCCGUAUUGUGUGGUGACUCUGGAUAACUUUGUGCUGAUCGCAUGGCCAUGAGCCGGCGACGUUUCUUUCAAGUGUCUGCCUUAUCAACUUUCGAUGGUAGGUUACUUGCUUACCAUGGUUGUUACGGGUAACGGAGAAUCAGGGUUCGAUUCCGGAGAGGGAGCCUGAGAAACGGCUACCACAUCCAAGGAAGGCAGCAGGCGCGCAAAUUACCCACUCCCGGCACGGGGAGGUAGUGACGAAAAAUAACAAUACGGGACUCUUUUGAGGCCCCGUAAUUGAAAUGAGUACACUCUAAAUCCUUUAACGAGGAUCAAUUGGAGGGCAAGUCUGGUGCCAGCAGCCGCGGUAAUUCCAGCUCCAAUAGCGUAUACUAAAGCUGCUGCGGUUAAAAAGCUCGUAGUUGGAUCUCAGUUCCAGACGAGUAGUGCAUCUACCCGAUGCGACGGCUCGGACUGAACAUCAUGCCGGUUCUUUCUUGGUGCACUUCAUUGUGUGCCUCGAGAUGGCCGGUGCUUUUACUUUGAAAAAAUUAGAGUGCUCAACGCAGGCGAGUCGCCUGAAUAAACUUGCAUGGAAUAAUAGAACAAGACCUCGUUUCUGUUCUGUUGGUUUUUGGAAUACGAGGUAAUGAUUAAGAGGGACGGACGGGGGCAUUCGUAUUGCGGCGCUAGAGGUGAAAUUCUUGGACCGUCGCAAGACGAACUACUGCGAAAGCAUUUGCCAAGAAUGUUUUCAUUGAUCAAGAACGAAAGUCAGAGGUUCGAAGGCGAUCAGAUACCGCCCUAGUUCUGACCAUAAACGAUGCCAACCAGCGAUCCGCCUGAGUUACUCAAAUGACUCGGCGGGCAGCUUCCGGGAAACCAAAGUAUUUGGGUUCCGGGGGAAGUAUGGUUGCAAAGCUGAAACUUAAAGGAAUUGACGGAAGGGCACCACCAGGAGUGGAGCCUGCGGCUUAAUUUGACUCAACACGGGAAAACUUACCCGGCCCGGACACUGGGAGGAUUGACAGAUUGAGAGCUCUUUCUUGAUUCGGUGGAUGGUGGUGCAUGGCCGUUCUUAGUUGGUGGAGCGAUUUGUCUGGUUAAUUCCGAUAACGAACGAGACUCUAGCCUAUUAAAUAGGUGCGGGGUUCCCAGCACCUUACAACCUUCUUAGAGGGACAAGCGGCUCCUAGCCGCACGAAACAGAGCAAUAACAGGUCUGUGAUGCCCUUAGAUGUCCGGGGCCGCACGCGCGCUACACUGAAGGAAGCAGCGUGUCUUUAUCCCUGUCUGAAAAGACUGGGUAACCCGUGGAACUUCUUUCGUGAUUGGGAUAGGGGCUUGCAAUUGUUCCCCUUGAACGAGGAAUUCCCAGUAAGCGCGAGUCAUAAGCUCGCGUUGAUUACGUCCCUGCCCUUUGUACACACCGCCCGUCGCUACUACCGAUUGAAUGAUUUAGUGAGGUCUUCGGACCGAUGUCCGGCGCGGCCUUUCGGUUGCGCCGGUCUGUUGGAAAGAUGACCAAACUUGAUCAUUUAGAGGAAGUAAAAGUCGUAACAAGGUUUCCGUAGGUGAACCUGCGGAAGGAUCAUUA
rnacentral:rRNA from 1 species